UACGGAGGGUGCGAGCGUUGUCCGGAAUCACUGGGCGUAAAGGGAGCGUAGGCGGGUUUCUAAGUCAGGUGUUUAAUCCCGGGGCCCAACCCCGGACAGGCACUUGAAACUGGGAAUCUUGAAUAGUGGAGAGGUCAGUGGAAUUGGGGGUGUAGCGGUGGAAUGCGUAGAGAUCCCCAAGAACACCAGUUGCGAAGGCGGCUGACUGGACACAUAUUGACGCUGAGGCUCGAAAGCAUGGGGAGCAAACAGG
rnacentral:rRNA from 1 species